CACGUAGGGGGCGAGCGUUGUCCGGAUUCAUUGGGCGUAAAGGGCGCGCAGGCGGCCCGGAAAGUCGGAUGUGAAAACUCGGGGCUCAACCCCGAGCGUGCACCCGAUACUGCCGGGCUUGAGGCAGGUAGGGGAGAUCGGAAUUCCUGGUGUAGCGGUGAAAUGCGCAGAUAUCAGGAGGAACACCGGUGGCGAAGGCGGAUCUCUGGGCCUGUCCUGACGCUGAGGCGCGAAAGCUAGGGGAGCGAACUGG
rnacentral:rRNA from 1 species